rnacentral:rRNA from 1 species
UUGCACGCUGGCGGCAGGCCUAACCCAUGCAAGUCGCACGGUAACAGAAAGCAGCUUGCUGCUUUGCUGACGAGUGGCGGACGGGUGAGUAAUGUCUGGGAAACUGCCUGAUGGAGGGGGAUAACUACUGGAAACGGUAGCUAAUACCGCAUAACGUCGCAAGACCAAAGAGGGGGACCUUCGGGCCUCUUGCCAUCGGAUGUGCCCAGAUGGGAUUAGCUAGUAGGUGGGGUAAAGGCUCACCUAGGCGACGAUCCCUAGCUGGUCUGAGAGGAUGACCAGCCACACUGGAACUGAGACACGGUCCAGACUCCUACGGGAGGCAGCAGUGGGGAAUAUUGCACAAUGGGCGCAAGCCUGAUGCAGCCAUGCCGCGUGUAUGAAGAAGGCCUUCGGGUUGUAAAGUACUUUCAGCGGGGAGGAAGGGAGUAAAGUUAAUACCUUUGCUCAUUGACGUUACCCGCAGAAGAAGCACCGGCUAACUCCGUG